UACGGGGGGGGCAAGCGUUGUUCGGAAUUACUGGGCGUAAAGGGUUCGUAGGUGGCCAACUCAGUCAGACGUGAAAUCCCUCAGCUCAACUGGGGAACUGCGUCUGAUACUAGAUGGCUUGAGUGCAGGAGAGGAACGCGGAAUUCCAGGUGUAGCGGUGAAAUGCGUAGAUAUCUGGAGGAACACCGGUGGCGAAGGCGGCGUUCUGGACUGCAACUGACCCUGAGGAACGAAAGCCCGGGGAGCAAACGGG
rnacentral:rRNA from 1 species